GUCACCUGUGGGAAGUCCCGCCAACUUCUGGACCAUGGAGGGGAAUGUACUCACCAAGAGGCAGGGCCUGUUUGAGAAACACGAGAAGCCCAAGUACGUGCUGUGCGUCGCCUUCGCCGAGAACGGAGACGCCAUCACCGGAGAUUCCAGCGGGAAUAUCUACAUCUGGGGGAAAGGUGGGAGCCGGAUCAGCCAGGUGGUGGGGGGGCCACGAG